UAGGGAAUCUUCGGCAAUGGACGGAAGUCUGACCGAGCAACGCCGCGUGAGUGAAGAAGGUUUUCGGAUCGUAAAGCUCUGUUGUAAGAGAAGAACGAGUGUGAGAGUGGAAAGUUCACACUGUGACGGUAUCUUACCAGAAAGGGACGGCUAACUACGUGCCAGCAGCCGCGGUAAUACGUAGGUCCCGAGCGUUGUCCGGAUUUAUUGGGCGUAAAGCGAGCGCAGGCGGUUAGAUAAGUCUGAAGUUAAAGGCUGUGGCUUAACCAUAGUAGGCUUUGGAAACUGUUUAACUUGAGUGCAAGAGGGGAGAGUGGAAUUCCAUGUGUAGCGGUGAAAUGCGUAGAUAUAUGGAGGAACACCGGUGGCGAAAGCGGCUCUCUGGCUUGUAACUGACGCUGAGGCUCGAAAGCGUGGGGAGCAAACAGGAUUAGAUACCCUGGUAGUCCACGCUGUAAACGAUGAGUGCUAGGUGUUAGACCCUUUCCGGGGUUUAGUGCCGUAGCUAACGCAUUAAGCACUCCGCCUGGGGGGUACGACCGCAAGGUUG
rnacentral:rRNA from 1 species